rnacentral:tRNA from 1 species
GAGCUUUUAAGUUAAGUUAAACUAGGGACCUUCAAAGUCUCCAAUGAUGUCAAUAUGGUAAUCAAGGCUUG